UCGUGGUGUGACUGCGUACCUUUUGUAUAAUGGGUCAGCGACUUAUAUUUUGUAGCAAGGUUAACCGAAUAGGGGAGCCGUAGGGAAACCGAGUCUUAACUGGGCGAAUAGUUGCAAGGUAUAGACCCGAAACCCGGUGAUCUAGCCAUGGGCAGGUUGAAGGUUGGGUAACACUAACUGGAGGACCGAACCGACUAAUGUUGAAAAAUUAGCGGAUGACUUGUGGCUGGGGGUGAAAGGCCAAUCAAACCGGGAGAUAGCUGGUUCUCCCCGAAAGCUAUUUAGGUAGCGCCUCGUGAACUCAUCUUCGGGGGUAGAGCACUGUUUCGGCUAGGGGGUCAUCCCGACUUACCAAACCGAUGCAAACUCCGAAUACCGAAGAAUGUUAUCACGGGAGACACACGGCGGGUGCUAACGUCCGUCGUGAAGAGGGAAACAACCCAGACCGCCAGCUAAGGUCCCAAAGUCAUGGUUAAGUGGGAAACGAUGUGGGAAGGCAUAGACAGCCAGGAUGUUGGCUUAGAAGCAGCCAUCAUUUAAAGAAAGCGUAAUAGCUCACUGGUCGAGUCGGCCUGCGCGGAAGAUGUAACGGGGCUAAACCAUG
rnacentral:rRNA from 1 species